UACGUAGGGGGCAAGCGUUGUCCGGAUUUAUUGGGCGUAAAGAGCGCGUAGGCGGCCAGACAGGUCCGUUGUGAAAACUCGAGGCUCAACCUCGAGAUGUCGAUGGAAACCGUCUGGCUAGAGUCCGGAAGAGGAGUGUGGAAUUCCUGGUGUAGCGGUGAAAUGCGCAGAUAUCAGGAAGAACACCUAUGGCGAAGGCAGCACUCUGGGACGGUACUGACGCUGAGACGCGAAAGCGUGGGGAGCGAACAGG
rnacentral:rRNA from 1 species